CCUACGGGAGGCAGCAGUGAGGAAUAUUGGUCAAUGGGCGUAAGCCUGAACCAGCCAAGUCGCGUGAGGGAUGAAGGUUCUAUGGAUCGUAAACCUCUUUUAUAAGGGAAUAAAGUGCGGGUCGUGUCCCGUUUUGUAUGUACCUUAUGCAUAAGGGUCGGCUAACUCCGUGCCAGCAGCCGCGGUAAUACGGGGGAUCCGAGCGUUAUCCGGAUUGAUUGGGGUUAAAGGGUGCGUAGGCGGCCUUUUAAGUCGGCGGUGAAAGUCUGUGGCUCAACUAAGGAACUGCCGUUGAAACUGGGAGGCUUGAGUAUGUGUGAGGCAGGCGGAAUGCGUGGUGUAGCGGUGAAAUGCUUAGAUAUCACGCAGAACCCCGAUUGCGAAGGCAGCCUGCCAAGCCAUGACUGACGCUGAUGCACGAAAGCGUGGGGAGCAAACAGGAUUAGAUACCCUUGUAGUC
rnacentral:rRNA from 1 species